GUAGCUCACUUCUGUUAUCAACAACGUCAAGCUUCAGAAUACCCUUGUUUAAAUUGAAUAAGUGGUUUUCAAAAGCGCCGCGAACUAUGUAUUUCUAAAUAUAUUUUCUUUUCGUUAUUUCUUUGUUAUUUGUUUUUUAUUUAAUUGAAUAUUCGUGGUUUACUAAUAGUUGUUCCUAUUAUUAAAAUAUUUUGUAUUAUAGUGUGUGAAAAUAUUAAAAAGAAAUGAAUAAAAUAAAAUGAAAAUUAUUUUAUGAUAGAAUUUAGUAUAUUUAAUAAAGCUAUGCCAAGAUUCCGUUGCGAAUGCAACGGAUAUAUUACAGAACAUAUGUUUCAUAAAUUCUACGCUUUUUGUUGAUACUUCUAAAGAGCGACCUGCUAAUUAUUUAUCGUCAGCAACAGGUCAUACUCUCUUUUCUUGUCUAUCCGGAAGUCAGUGCACAUAUAGAAUAAUAAUAUAGUGUCUUAUAAAAUAAUAAAUAAUAUAUCAUGUAUAUAGGAUGUAUUGCAUAUUAUAUUUUUAUUUUUCAUAGAAAAUUUUUUUUCCCCAAAUUUUAUUAUUUAGUGAAUAAAUAUAUUAAUUUUAUGUAAUAAAUUAUUGAAAAUAUAAUAAUUUGCGAUUGUUAAAUUUUUAUCAAUAAGGUAUAAUAUAAAUAUAAAAUGAUUUUUCUAUGACAUUUGAAAAGCCUAAAAUUCCAUGAUAUAUUUAAACCCAUGUGAAAUGGGAACAGAAUUUUUAUCCGACAAUCAUGACUGGCAUGAAAUUGUGACUAACAAAAGAGAACAAUGGAAAAAUGAUCGGAAGGUGUAGUCAUAACUGCAUAGCACUGUGUUGCGGCUCAAAAUACGCUUCGUAUACGAACUGACUAUUGCUUCGUUCGAUACGAACACGUGUUCUCGAUGCGGCUACUAUACGAUAUUGUCGCAAAAUGACAUGUGGGCCACGGUGCGGCAGAAUGUGCGCGGACGAAGCAUAAGGUCUGACAGUCGAGGGACGGGCAUGGAGCUCCGCUUUAUCGUGAGCCAAUCCGAGAGCUCUGACCUUGAGUAACUCUAGAGAGAGAUAUAUUUAGCUGUGAGCAGUUCGAGGUGCUGCUAGCUAGCUCUCCCUUACACUCUAAAGUCUCUCUUUAGAGUAGAUACUCGCAGCGGUGGAUAUUAUAACGAGGGAGUUUCGUCAAGGGAAACUCCAGUCACAGAGUUGUCCUUCUAUAUCCUUUUGAUAGAUUAGAGUUCAAAAUUGUUACAAUUACGAAGAGAGAAAGAUAUUAAAACUAAAAAAUUUAAAAAAAUUAAUUUUCUUUCGUAUUUUAUUCAAAGUUCAUAAAAUUUUUUAAAGUGAUUGAAAUAAAUGAAAAAAAUCAAAUUGUUACGUGAUAUUAAAAUUUUUAAUCUGUUAAAGAAAAUUCUUAAAAUGUUAUUUAUCAACUUUGAUGUUAAAUAAAAAAAAAACAUUGCAAUUUUUUAAUAAAAAAUCUUUCUUGCUAUUAACAAAACAAUUUAAAGUUCCUAUAAAAAUUAAAAUUUUAAUUUUUUCUAUGAAUUGCGACAAGUAUAAAUUUCUAUUUUUUAAAUCUUUUUUUUUUUGAUUUUUUACAUAAAUAUUUGCAAAUGUUUGAUUUUUGUACAUUAAUAAUUUUCUUUUUAAAAUAAUUUUAAAUAUUUUCUAGUCUCUGUAGACUGUUAUUACAGGACUAUCUACUUACUAACAAGGAUGUUGCGCGUGAGCAACUUUAAGAAGUUGAAAGGACAUUUGAUUAUUUUGGAAUGUUGUAUCGUGAACAGCUAGGUGAUGAUGAUGAGUUUAAAACCAGUUCUCCUUGGAUGCUUUGAGGGGCCAAGCAUUUCAUGAGAUAUUCAGGAUUACUCGCCCCCGUUUCCGUGAAUCUUUGGAGCGUUAUGAGACAAUUAGACAUUUCCAAAUUAUAGCUUACUUCUGACAACUAUCUCCGUUGUUCAUUUAUAAACUUUCCUGCAAUUUGAGAGCAAUUAUAUGUCAAAAAAAAAUUAUACUAUAUAUAUAAUAUAUUAUUUGUUAUAAGAAAGAUAUAAAAUAUUAUCAUCAUUACAUAAAUAUUAUAAAAUAUAAUUUUUUUAUGUAUUAUAUUAUUAUUAUGUAUUGUAAAAUAAAAGUUAAACUAUCGAAUGAA